GACGAACGCUGGCGGCGUGCUUAACACAUGCAAGUCGAACGGUAAGGCCCUUUCGGGGGUACACGAGUGGCGAACGGGGGAGUAACACGUGGGUGAUCUGCCCUGCACUUUGGGAUAAGCCUGGGAAACUGGGUCUAAUACCGGGUAGGACUACGCGAUGCAUGUCGUGUGGUGGAAAGCUUUUGCGGUGUGGGAUGGGCCCGCGGCCUAUCAGCUUGUUGGUGGGGUGAUGGGCUACCAAGGCUACGACGGGUAGCCGGCCUGAGAUGGUGUCCGGCCACACUGGGACUGAGAUACGGCCCAGACUCCUACGGGAGGCAGCAGUGGGGAAUAUUGCACAAUGGGCGCAAGCCUGAUGCAGCCAAGCCGCGUGGGGGAUGACGGCCUUCGGGUUGUAAACCCCUUUCAGCACAGACGAAGCGUAAGUGACGGUAUGUGCAGAAGAAGCACCGGCCAACUACGUG
rnacentral:rRNA from 1 species